rnacentral:lncRNA from 1 species
UUAACUGGUGGAGGAGAACCAGUGGGUGUAGGUGGAGCUUGGGUAGCUGGUGUUGGAGGCGCUUGGGUAGUGGGUGUAGGUGGUGCUUGGUUAGUGGGUGUUGGAGGAGCCUGGUUAGUGGGUGUUGGUGGAGUCUGUGUAGGUGGUGCUUGAUUAGUAGGGGGUGCCUGUGUUGGUGGUGCCUGUGUAGGUGGUGCUUGGGUAGGGGGUGCCUGUGUUGGUGGUGCCUGCGUAGGUGGUGCUUGGUUAGUAGGGGGUGUCUGUGUUGGUGGUGCCUGUGUAGGUGGUGCUUGGGUAGGGGGUGUUGGAGGUGCUUGACCUCCAACCCCAGCGACGAUAAUGCAGAUCAUAAACCCCAACAAAACAGCAUUAUUCCUACCCAUCAUUUUGACAAUGGAGAGGAGGAAAUUAAAGGAAUGUGAAAGAAGAUAUCUGGUGCUGCUUGGGAAAAGAGAGGUUUGGGAAGGGAAUAUAUAAGAGAUUUUCUAAAAGAAGUAUGGUAUAUAUUUGAAGGUUGGAAAAGAAAGAGUAGAAAGGUGGCAAAUCCAAUUUGUAGUAACAGUGUGAGUUGUGACUACCAAAUACUUAUG